rnacentral:rRNA from 1 species
UGGGAUACUACCCUAAUUGUAUUGGAUUUCUAACCCGCAGCACUUAUCGUGCUGGGAGACAGUGUCAGGCGGGCAGUUUGACUGGGGCGGUCGCCUCCUAAAGAGUAACGGAGGCGCUCAAAGGUUCCCUCAGAAUGGUUGGAAAUCAUUCAUAGAGUGUAAAGGCAUAAGGGAGCUUGACUGCGAGACCUACAAGUCGAGCAGGGUCGAAAGACGGACUUAGUGAUCCGGUGGUUCCGCAUGGAAGGGCCAUCGCUCAACGGAUAAAAGCUACCCCGGGGAUAACAGGCUUAUCUCCCCCAAGAGUUCACAUCGACGGGGAGGUUUGGCACCUCGAUGUCGGCUCAUCGCAUCCUGGGGCUGUAGUCGGUCCCAAGGGUUGGGCUGUUCGCCCAUUAAAGCGGUACGCGAGCUGGGUUCAGAACGUCGUGAGACAGUUCGGUCCCUAUCCGUCGUGGGCGUAGGAAAUUUGAGAGGAGCUGUCCUUAGUACGAGAGGACCGGGAUGGACAUACCUCUGGUGUACCAGUUGUCGUGCCAACGGCAUAGCUGGGUAGCUAUGUAUGGACGGGAUAAGUGCUGAAAGCAUCUAAGCAUGAAGCCCCCCUCGAGAUGAGAUUUCCCAACUUCGGUUAUAAGAUCCCUCAAAGAUGAUGAGGUGAAUAGGUUCGAGGUGGAAGCGUAGCGAUACGUGGAGCUGACGAAUACUA